UACGAGGGGGGCGAGCGUUGUUCGGAAUUAUUGGGCGUAAAGGGUGCGUAGGCGGUUUGAUAAGUCUGAUGUGAAAUCUAUGGGCUCAACCCAUAGCCUGCAUUAGAAACUGUCGGGCUUGAGUAUGGGAGAGGUGAGUGGAAUUCCGAGUGUAGAGGUGAAAUUCGUAGAUAUUCGGAAGAACACCAGUGGCGAAGGCGACUUACUGGACACAUAUUGACGCUGAGGUGCGAAAGCGUGGGGAGCAAACAGG
rnacentral:rRNA from 1 species